ensembl:lncRNA
GGAAAGGCUAAUCCACAAAAACGGAGAAACGUCCAUAAUUCCAUUAUUCAUAAUCAUGUCAAGGUUUUAGGUUUUUCUGCAGUUCCAUCUCUAAAAAGUGUGAUGUCUUCCCGUCACUGAUUUCAGUUUGAAAACUUUGUAUUUAUUCACAGAUUUCUGUGAGAUCAUCCUAAAAUUUGUAACGAAAAAUGGGCUCAAAAGAGCCCUCUGCCUAACGGCAUGUAGCCUAUAGCAUAACGUGAUAUUUUCAGUAGUGUAUGCAAAAAGGUCGGAAUUGAUGGAGAGUAGGGUUGCCUAAAUGGUUUAGGUUACAUUUUAAAUGUGUCGUUUUUUUGUUUAUACAUAUGGAUGGAUGGAGGGGGCAAGCUGGCAAAGUUUGUCAUGUGCAGUUUCUGACAGGCUACUUCACAACAAAACAAUUGCAGGUUGGUCUUAGAGGGCAAACAGAAUAAUUUCACUCGAUUCAUGGGUUACCUGACUGGUUGGGAAGGGAAAGAGCUGCCGUGUUGUCCGCCGUGGUUCCCAGUCGCUAUAGUUAGCCUACUAUGCCUACUCCAAGUAGUCCUAUGUCAUGCCGCUGCUACACGCCUCACAACAAAUGAACUGCAAGCGUGUUCACGUGACACGGUGACAGUGAAAAAGCGACAGGGUUCGGGUGUCUUUGAAGAAGGGGCACAAAUCAAGCCAUUAUUUUCACACCUUUUUAAAUCGCGCAGCUUUAAAAAAAUAAUAAUAAUCACGUCUUUCAAAAGGGCACUUUUUUGGACUGAAGGCAAAAGGGCAAGUGCUUCAGCACCACCUCGUCUCUAUCUGUGCAUGCCAGUGGCAGUGUGUCCCUCAGUCUGUCCUCACUCUGGACACUUUUUUGUUUUUGCAAGUGUUUUUGUUUUUGCAGGUGUUUUUCUUUGGCAGGUGUUUUUGUUUUUGCAGCAUUUUUCUUUUUGCAGGUGUUUUUGUUUUUGCAAGUGUUUUUCUUUUUGCAGGUGUUUUUCUUUUGCAGGGGUUUUUGUUUUUGCAGGUGUUUUUCUUUUGCAGGUGUUUUUGUUUUUGCAGCAUUUUUCUUUUUGCAAGUGUUUUUCUUUUUACAGGUGUUUUUCUUUUGCAGGUGUUUUUGUUUUUGCAGGUGUUUUUCUUUUGCAGGGGUUUUUGUUUUUGCAGGUGUUUUUCUUUUGCAGGUGUUUUUGUUUUUGCAGCAUUUUUGUUUUUGCAGGUGUUUUUCUUUUGCAGGUGUUUUUGUUUUUGCAGCAUUUUUCUUUUGCAGGGGUUUUUCUUUUUGCAAGUGUUUUUCUUUUGCAGGUGUUUUUCUUUUUGCAGGUGUUUUUCUUUUGCAGGUGUUGUUCUUUUUGCAGGUGUUUUUCUUUUGCAGGUGUUUUUGUUUUUGCAGCAUUUUUCUUUUUGCAAGUGUUUUCUGAAGUUGCAGUCCGUUUGGCCUCUCAGUGCCACCGUAACAGGUGGAAUCAGGACCACAUUAAGACCUAAUCACCUUCUCUCUCUGUCACACACACACACACACACACACACACACACACACACACACACACAUUUGCUGUAACACAAAAAGAGAGAGAGUAUUUAAAUGUAAAGUCUGAACAUUAGUCACUCUGUCUUCGGUGUGUG